rnacentral:rRNA from 1 species
UACGUAGGGUGCAAGCGUUGUCCGGAAUUAUUGGGCGUAAAGAGCUCGUAGGUGGCCUGUCGCGUCGGCUGUGAAAACUCGGGGCUCAACUCCGAGCUUGCAGUCGAUACGGGCAGGCUAGAGUUCGGCAGGGGAGACUGGAAUUCCUGGUGUAGCGGUGGAAUGCGCAGAUAUCAGGAGGAACACCGGUGGCGAAGGCGGGUCUCUGGGCCGUUACUGACGCUGAGGAGCGAAAGCGAGGGGAGCGAACAGG